rnacentral:tRNA from 1 species
AGAGGAAACUAGGGGUAUAAGGAAGCUUCUAACUUCUUUUAUGAGCAGUUCGAGUCUGUUCUUCCUUUA